GUCAUUUCAUACAAUUUUCCACCAUAAAAAAUUAAAAUAAGACAAAGCAUAAAUUUGUGGGCCCAAAAUCUUCAACUUUCCACUCGUUCCAAAUUUUCGAUUCCAAGAUCUGUUCGUCGGUUUUGUAAUGGUUGGCUGACUUGAAAAGAGGCUUUGAGCCUUUACGGCUCCCGAAAUGCAGCGGAGGAGCAAGUGAACCACCUAAAAUAUGAGACAAUUCUGCUUCUCAAGAUGUCAAAGAG
rnacentral:misc_RNA from 1 species